rnacentral:rRNA from 1 species
ACGUACAAGCAGUGGGAGCCCCACCACUAAGCCAGUGGUGAACUCCACAUACGCAUCCUUUGCUGAGGAUACGGUUAACGGAGCGAAAGCGACGUUCAACCUCAAAAGAAGCAGAGGGGGCUUAGUGGUGGGGUGACUGCGUACCUUUUGUAUAAUGGGUCAGCGACUUAUAUUCUGUAGCAAGGUUAACCGUAUAGGGGAGCCGGAGGGAAACCGAGUCUUAACCGGGCGUUAAGUUGCAGGGUAUAGACCCGAAACCCGGUGAUCUAGCCAUGGGCAGGUUGAAGGUUGGGUAACACUAACUGGAGGACCGAACCGACUAAUGUUGAAAAAUUAGCGGAUGACCUGUGGCUGGGGGUGAAAGGCCAAUCAAACCGGGAGAUAGCUGGUUCUCCCCGAAAGCUAUUUAGGUAGCGCCUCGUGAAUUCAUCUCCGGGGGUAGAGCACUGUUUCGGCUAGGGGGCCAUCCCGGCUUACCAACCCGAUGCAAACUGCGAAUACCGGAGAAUGUUAUCACGGGAGACACACGGCGGGUGCUAACGUCCGUCGUGAAGAGGGAAACAACCCAGACCGCCAGCUAAGGUCCCAAAGUCAUGGUUAAGUGGGAAACGAUGUGGGAAGGCCCAGACAGCCAGGAUGUUGGCUUAGAAGCAGCCAUCAUUUAAAGAAAGCGUAAUAGCUCACUGGUCGAGUCGGCCUGCGCGGAAGAUGUAACGGGGCUAAACCAU